rnacentral:piRNA from 1 species
UCCUCAUCUCCCCGUCGGGCGUCUCCAC